GGCAGCCGCGCAGCCCCGCGGAAUGGAGCGGCGCCGGGGCUAAGCCGGGCGCGCACGGGCCGCCGCAUGUGCCGCGCCGGGAGCGGCUGCAGAGCGGGCGGAGAGCGAGCGCGAGAGGCCCCGUCGGAGCGGCCGCCGGAGCAGCGCCGGAGAUGGGAGAGCAGCCCAUCUUCACCACCCGAGCGCAUGUGUUCCAGAUCGACCCCAGCACCAAGAAGAACUGGGUGCCUGCAAGCAAGCAGGCCGUCACCGUCUCCUACUUCUACGAUGUCACAAGGAACAGCUAUCGGAUCAUCAGUGUGGAUGGAGCCAAGGUACCAGCACCUUCAUAAAGCAGAUAACCCUCGUGUUGACCAUGCCUGCUGCUUCCUUUUGGAUAUUUCCUUGGGAUAGAUUCCUAGAAGAAUAGUUACAGGUCAAGAGAGUAACGCUUUAUGGCUCCUUAGGAUGUUGCCAAAUGGCUUUCCAAAGAGUUCUUUCUUCCAGCACGAAUGAAGAUACCAGUUUAUUGUACUCUCUCUCACCAGCUUCGGGCAUUAGUUCUAGUCUCAUUUUGGUGUUAUUAGGCCUGGGAGUCGAAUUUUAUUAAAUGAUUUUGGAGUGUUUC
rnacentral:lncRNA from 1 species